UCGGGAAUUUUGGGCAAUGGGCGAAAGCCUGACCCAGCAACGCCGCGUGAAGGAUGAAGUAUUUCGGUAUGUAAACUUCGUAAGAAUAGGAAGAAUAAAUGACGGUACUAUUUAUAAGGUCCGGCUAACUACGUGCCAGCAGCCGCGGUAAUACGUAGGGACCAAGCGUUGUUCGGAUUUACUGGGCGUAAAGGGCGCGUAGGCGGCAAUUCAAGUCAUCUGUGAAAUCUCCGGGCUUAACUCGGAACGGUCAGAUGAUACUGCUUUGCUAGAGUGCAGAAGGGGCAAUCGGAAUUCUUGGUGUAGCGGUGAAAUGCGUAGAUAUCAAGAGGAACACCUGAGGUGAAGACGGGUUGCUGGGCUGACACUGACGCUGAGGCGCGAAAGCUAGGGUAGCGAACGGGAUUAGAUACCCUAGUAGUCCCUGAGCGGGCUGGCAAGGCGCAU
rnacentral:rRNA from 1 species